rnacentral:lncRNA from 1 species
UUAUGAAGGGCUUCUUAUUCCAUCUUAAGUGCCAUUUGGAUGCCCUUUUUCCUCUUACACAGAUUGAAUCAGUAAUAAUAAAGCUUGCAGAAGUUCAGCAAGUGCUCUAGAGAUAUUGCAUGUGGUGAUCGCUUCACUCACCUGUGAAAUGCAGCCCUCUCUGGAGUGGAAGGCACUGAAUAUUUUAACAGGAUCUUGUGAGUAUAGCAUGACUUUAUGAAAGAACCAAAUUAAAAAGUAUAAAUAAGCAACUCAUAUUUGUACAAAACUUCUGGGUCAAAGUUUUUAGUUCCCUCCCCCCCCUCCCCCCAUCUGUGGAAAUGUAAAAUGGAGGCACCUUUCCAAAAGAAGGAUCCUUUCCUCACAAUCUGACAUCUCUAUGAUCUGUUUCAUCUUGGGCAUCCAAAAACUGAGACAUUUUUCUUCAUUUGUCUUUGAACUACUGUGACCAGGUGAACUUGUUAAUUUUAUAUAGCCAUUAAAAUUCAUUCUUCUCUGACAGGAAAGACCACCAAAAAGUCACGUGGUAUUGAAAAGUGUCCAUUGCUUCUCUCAGUGGGGAAGAAGGUACUGUUUGUGAUCCUGGAAGAGAGGAGCAGGUGCUCUACCCUCUGCCUGUAAUCCAUAGGGGUCUGUCUUCCUGUUGAUGUCUCCUGAGGAUAGGGAAAGAAAUUUAUGACAGUCCUACUGAAAAGGCUAAUGGAAGUUAGAUGCAUUUUCUUGCCCUCUGGCACAUAUCUUGGAACCAAGAGCAAAUGUGGAAAGUGCAGUGUAUUGCAACUGUGGACAUUUAAGAAAAUGAAGAUAAUAGUAGGCUUUUGAAGUCACAAGAGCAUUGUGAAGGUAUGAAAAUAAGAUGACUGCUGACCUGUCUCUGUGCGGUAUGUGGAAGCCACUAAAAAACAUGAACUGCAUAAGUCUUUCACCUCAGAGGUGUCCAUAGAAAUAGAAGCCACAUCUGACAGUCAGGGAGAAGAGUAAGGACAAGGACAAGAGUAAGCAGAAACAAGGAUUUCUGGAAUGGUCCCUGAACUGACUCAGGCUCAAUUCAGGUGAGUUGGGGCAGAAUUUGGAAACAUUUCAUGGCUGUUGGACAAAAGAGAUAGUGCCUUAAAAAUAGAAAGACUUGGAGGUCAAAUGUGGGAGAGAAAUAGAAACCCUCAGGAUAGAAAUGCAAAGUACACUAACUUUUUAAGCUUACUAUGAAAUUUAGAUGGACAACUGCCAUUUGUGUCACAGGCUGCAUAUCUCAGGCUGUAUACAAAACUGGGAGAGGGCAUAGGCAUUAGGUUGCGCACCUACUGUAAAAAACAACUACAACUACAACAAAACUCAAAAUCUACUUUAAUUCAGCUUGCAGAGGGAUUAGACAGACUUCUGCCAACAGGUCACUGCUGUAGUAAUGAGGUCUAAAAAUUAGCAGCCCACAGCUUCACUGACCAUGCAAGUCUUGCACAGAACAAAGUAACUGACAUCUCAGUCCUACUCAUCUAAGCAUUUCAGAAUACAUUUAACACAGAAAAGUCUCAUACCUGUACCUUUAAAAUUAACCAAAGAAGAUAAAGAGAACAGCAAAGGCAAUACAAGGUUUGAGACAGAAGUUUGAAUCUAACCUGACUUAUUUAUCUAUCGAUAAAUGCAAAUUGGCAUUAUCUCCUUG